rnacentral:rRNA from 1 species
GUGGCGAACGGGUGAGUAACACGUGAGUAACCUGCCCUUGACUCUGGGAUAACUGCUAGAAAUGGUAGCUAAUACCGGAUACGACCCUCGGCCGCAUGGUCAGGGGGUGGAAAGAAUUUUGGUCAAGGAUGGACUCGCGGCCUAUCAGGUAGUUGGUGAGGUAAUGGCUCACCAAGCCUACGACGGGUAGCCGGCCUGAGAGGGUGACCGGCCACACUGGGACUGAGACACGGCCCAGACUCCUACGGGAGGCAGCAGUGGGGAAUAUUGCACAAUGGGCGAAAGCCUGAUGCAGCAACGCCGCGUGAGGGACGACGGCCUUCGGGUUGUAAACCUCUUUUAGUAGGGAAGAAGCGAAAGUGACGGUACCUGCAGAAAAAGCACCGGCUAACUACGUGCCAGCAGCCGCGGUAAUACGUAGGGUGCAAGCGUUGUCCGGAAUUAUUGGGCGUAAAGAGCUCGUAGGCGGUUUGUCGCGUCUGCUGUGAAAUCCGGAGGCUCAACCUCCGGCCUGCAGUGGGUACGGGCAGACUAGAGUGCGGUAGGGGAGAUUGGAAUUCCUGGUGUAGCGGUGGAAUGCGCAGAUAUCAGGAGGAACACCAAUGGCGAAGGCAGAUCUCUGGGCCGUAACUGACGCUGAGGAGCGAAAGCAUGGGGAGCGAACAGGA